UGAUGUUCUAACGUGGACCCGUAAUCCGGGUUGCGGACAGUGUCUGGUGGGUAGUUUGACUGGGGCGGUCUCCUCCUAAAGAGUAACGGAGGAGCACGAAGGUUGGCUAAUCCUGGUCGGACAUCAGGAGGUUAGUGCAAUGGCAUAAGCCAGCUUGACUGCGAGCGUGACGGCGCGAGCAGGUGCGAAAGCAGGUCAUAGUGAUCCGGUGGUUCUGAAUGGAAGGGCCAUCGCUCAACGGAUAAAAGGUACUCCGGGGAUAACAGGCUGAUACCGCCCAAGAGUUCAUAUCGACGGCGGUGUUUGGCACCUCGAUGUCGGCUCAUCACAUCCUGGGGCUGAAGUAGGUCCCAAGGGUAUGGCUGUUCGCCAUUUAAAGUGGUACGCGAGCUGGGUUUAGAACGUCGUGAGACAGUUCGGUCCCUAUCUGCCGUGGGCGCUGGAGAACUGAGGGGGGCUGCUCCUAGUACGAGAGGACCGGAGUGGACGCAUCACUGGUGUUCGGGUUGUCAUGCCAAUGGCACUGCCCGGUAGCUAAAUGCGGAAGAGAUAAGUGCUGAAAGCAUCUAAGCACGAAACUUGCCCCGAGAUGAGUUCUCCCUGACUCCUUGAGAGUCCUGAAGGAACGUUGAAG
rnacentral:rRNA from 1 species